rnacentral:rRNA from 1 species
CGGCGGACGGGUGAGUAAUGCCUAGGAAUCUGCCUGGUAGUGGGGGACAACGUUUCGAAAGGAACGCUAAUACCGCAUACGUCCUACGGGAGAAAGCAGGGGACCUUCGGGCCUUGCGCUAUCAGAUGAGCCUAGGUCGGAUUAGCUAGUUGGUGGGGUAAUGGCUCACCAAGGCGACGAUCCGUAACUGGUCUGAGAGGAUGAUCAGUCACACUGGAACUGAGACACGGUCCAGACUCCUACGGGAGGCAGCAGUGGGGAAUAUUGGACAAUGGGCGAAAGCCUGAUCCAGCCAUGCCGCGUGUGUGAAGAAGGUCUUCGGAUUGUAAAGCACUUUAAGUUGGGAGGAAGGGCAGUAAGCUAAUACCUUGCUGUUUUGACGUUACCGACAGAAUAAGCACCGGCUAACUCUGUGCCAGCAGCCGCGGUAAUACAGAGGGUGCAAGCGUUAAUCGGAAUUACUGGGCGUAAAGCGCGCGUAGGUGGUUUGUUAAGUUGGAUGUGAAAGCCCCGGGCUCAACCUGGGAACUGCAUCCAAAACUGGCAAGCUAGAGUACGGUAGAGGGUGGUGGAAUUUCCUGUGUAGCGGUGAAAUGCGUAGAUAUAGGAAGGAACACCAGUGGCGAAGGCGACCACCUGGACUGAUACUGACACUGAGGUGCGA